ACAAUUACCUGUAGAGUUUCUG
rnacentral:miRNA from 15 species